rnacentral:rRNA from 1 species
GACGAACGCUGGCGGCGUGCUUAACACAUGCAAGUCGAACGGAAAGGCCCUGCUUUUGUGGGGUGCUCGAGUGGCGAACGGGUGAGUAACACGUGAGUAACCUGCCCUUGACUUGGGGAUAACUUCAGGAAACUGGGGCUAAUACCGGAUAGGAGCUCCUGCUGCAUGGUGGGGGUUGGAAAGUUGCGGCGGUUGGGGAUGGACUCGGGGCUUAUCAGCUUGUUGGUGGAGUAGUGGCUUACCAAGUCUUUGACGGGUAGGCGGCCUGAGAGGGUGACCGGCGACCAUGGGACUGAGAGACGGCCCAGACGCCUACGGGAGGCAGUAGUGGGGAAUAUGGCACAAUGGGCGGACGCCUGAUGCAGCAACGCCGCGUGCGGGAUGACGGCCUUCGGGUUGUAAACCGCUUUCGCCUGUGACGAAGCGUGAGUGACGGUAAUGGGUAAAGAAGCACCGGCUAACUACGUG